rnacentral:tRNA from 1 species
UCCCAGUUAGCUCAGUUGGUAGAGCAUGAGACUCUUAAUCUCAGGGUUGUGGGUUCGUGCCCCAUGUUGGGUG